CCCUUAGAUGUUCUGGGCCGCACGCGCGCUACACUGACGAAUGCAACGAGCUUAUAACCUUGGCCGAAAGGUCUGGGUAAUCUCCAAAUUUCGUCGUGAUGGGGAUAGAUUAUUGCAAUUAUUAAUCUUCAACGAGGAAUGCCUAGUAAGCGCGAGUCAUAAGCUCGCGUUGAUUACGUCCCUGCCCUUUGUACACACCGCCCGUCGCUACUACCGAUUGAACGGUUUAGUGAGGGCAUCGGACUGGUCUCGGCCCGCCCUUCACCGGUGCGGCGCCGCCGGCCGGGAAGACGCUCGAACUUGAUCGUUUAGAGGAAGUAAAAGUCGUAACA
rnacentral:rRNA from 1 species